UGCUCCAUAAAAUGGGGGAGGCGGUGGUGGUGCUCCACUAGAUGCAGGAAGAUAUGGUGGUGGUGGUGUGGUGGUGCUCCACUAGAUCAGGAAGAAUAAGGCGGCGGUGGUGGUGGUGGUGCUCCACUAGAUGCCGGGAAGAUAAGGCGGCGGUGGGGUGGUGGUGGUGAUCCAACUAGAUGCAGGAAGAUAAGGCGGUGGUGGUGGUGAUGGUGCUCCACUAGAUGCAGGAAGAUAUGGUGGUGGUGGUGGUGGUGGUGGUGCUCCACUAGAUGCAGGAAGAUAUGGUGGUGGUGGUGGUGGUGCCCUAUAGAAUGGUGGAGGUGGUGGUGGUGGGGUCUUAGACAUUGAAGGAGGUAGAGGUGGUGGUGGUUGAGGUGCUCCACUAGAUGCAGGAAGAUAUGGUGCUAGUGGUGGUGGUGGAGCUCCAUUUAGUGGUGGAAGUGGGGAUGGUGGGGCCUUAGACAUUGCAG
rnacentral:lncRNA from 1 species